UUUACACCAUAAUGAACCGAGCAGACCCAGCAUCAAAGCGACUAGCACCAAGGCAGCCACGCCUUCUCCCAUGCCGAAGGAAGACAUACUUCCGAGGUGCCAGACACCUGCCGAAGCUCUCAGCUGCCAAACCUAAUCUCCGGGACACGUGUCGCCACCACAACGGCUUGCACAAAGUCCCACAUUGGAACUUUGUGCAAAGCUCCCACUUUCACUUCCCUAUAAAUAGGGAACAGUACCCAGGUAAAAGAGGAACUACUCUCCCACUUUUACUGUUACUCUGCCAGAAUUACUACUCGUAACUGACUUAGGCAUCGGAGAGCCUUCGGCCGGCACCACACCGGUGUCCGAAGCUUGACGAUUGCUUCUCCUCUUUUUACCUUCUACAGGUCUCUCACCAACCCAUUUCACCAAGGGCCUCAGCCCUCUUCUCUGCUGAAGACUCAGCACAUCUAAUCACUAAGUUGGACUCAAUAUUGGCCGGGCCAUUUUGAGCAUCAACAGUUUGGCGCCGUCUGUGGGAAAUCGACACUUGAAUCCCCUCUUUCUCUAUCAGCCCAGCUGGCUCCUUCACCCCUCAGGCCCCGUCGCCUCUUCUUCACCCCACAUUCUGCCAUGCCGACCGAGGAUAGCCGCGAUACCCAGCAUCAUACCCCCCGCGAUGGUACUUCUAGAAGGAGAUCUUCGGAAGAUCCCACUCUCCAGGCAGAAGUGGAGCGUCUCCGCGACAGUGUCACUAAAAUGUCGGAAAAAUACGACCACCUUCAUUGCAAGAACAUUGAGCUAGAACAUGACUACCGUGUUUUAAAGAAGAACUGGGAAAGAACUCACACCCAGGAUGCCCAGCAAGACCUCACCCAGAACGUUGGGCCUACUCAGCCGAACCAGCCGGUACAUUCCAGCCACAGUGCCUCGGCCCAGGCUAGGCUCCGCAAGGGUAAAGACCACCUUCAUCCGGAGAUAGCCCAGUCACGACCCCUUUGCGUUCCCCCACCGAGGGACCGGCCCCAUGAACCAGUCAGGAUCUACCAAGAUUGCAGGGAUCGCCUCUCGGACCGCCAGCCAAGGCCGAUCCCUAUCCCUGUCAACCUCGAAGACCCACGGGUGACACACCUGGGCCCUUCGCCAGCCCCCGUCCGCAUACCCGACGAGGAAGGUGUCGGGGACUCGGAUACUUGGGACUUUUAUAAUUCGGAGACCUGGCCAAAUUACCACACCGGGGCACUGGAAAAUUGGGAACAAUCCCCAGUCCCUGUCUGCCCCGCCCCCAGGCCUUUGGCGCCUGAAACUCUUCCUCAUGCCGACCCGGCCAUGAGGCUUCUCUUCGAAAAGGUCCGGCGCCUGGAAAGCGAACAACAACGCAGCCAUCAACCCCUCUGGGCAAAACCACGACCAGGGCCCUUUACCGAACGCAUCCUCCACUACCACCAGGAGAAAGAUAUCCAGCCCCUCCGCAUCGCUUUCUACACUGGCACGGAGGACCCUCUCACCCACAUCCACUCCUUCCAGUCUGCCCUUGGGUGCAAAGGCCUCACUGAUGAAGGCAUGUGCCUCCUUUUCCCUUCCACCCUCAGCGGCGCGGCCCUGAAUUGGUUCUACAGGCUCCACCCCUGCACCAUCAACUCCUUCGAUAGUCUCAAGCAGACGUUCCUGGACCAUUUUAUGAUCCAGACUGAUCGCCUAUACUCUGCCGACGACUUGUAUAUGCUUAGGCAGGCUGAGGAUGAACCCCUUCGGGAAUAUGCAGCUCGGUUCAGUCAUGAAUACUCUCGCUGCCCAGACACUGACGAUCGCGCUGCCUUCGGCGCUUUUAAGAGCGGCCUCCGCGAGUCCAACUUCCGCUACCUGGUUCAUAGCAACAGUUGGAACACAUAUGCAGAGCUGAUGAAGCAGGCGGCGAUCCACGCUAAGGCAGAAUACUUCAACUCCAAGCGUGGCCCAGCCAACUUGGCGCGCAACACUUUCGCCGACCCUCCACUUGCUUCAGCACCCGCCCCAGCCCCACCUCAGCAUUCUACCCCUGCCCCGAGUGCCCAGGACAACCAACCACAUAAGCGGAAGGAUAGCUACCAGCAUCCCUUCGGCAAUCGCAAACAUGGCAGACAUGGCAACCCCCAUCAAUCUAGUGGAAGCAACCCUCCCAGGCCUGGUGAUCGGGCCCCACUUCCAUUCGCACCCAGGCCCAGGUUUGAGGUUUUUACGACCCUCAACACCACCUAUGAGAACGUCCUGGCGCGUGAAGCCCCCAUCAUCCCCAAGCCACCCCCCCGGAGACCAUCCAACAAGCCUAUGCCAAACACGGGGGUCUUCUGCCGCUUUCAUCAAUUCAGCGGCCAUGACACCGAGUCUUGUGUUGCGUUGCGCAACAUCAUUGAAGGGCUCAUCCGGGAGGGUAAGCUGGACAACUAUGUGCGCAACAUACCAGCCCCGCCUAACCCUCACCAACGACAAAUCAACAUGAUCUCCACCAUCAGCGGAGGUCCUACCCUGGCUGGCACCUCCAACAACUCCAUCAAACAUUAUGUCCGCUCCACCUAUGCGCACCAGGUCUUCAGCACCGAGCAGGGACGAUUGCCAAAGACCCACAGGACUGGCUGGGCCCCCAUUACCUUCUGCGAGGAGGAGGAGCGUGGUGUUAUCCUCCCCCAUGACGAUCCACUCAUUAUCCGGGCUGACAUUUCUAACUUCGACGUUGGGCGUAUCCUGGUGGACACUGGUAGCUCGGUCAGUGUGAUGUUCGCCGAGUGCUUCAAUGAACUCCAGGUCCCGCCUCACCUACUCGACCGAAGCAUCACACCCCUUGUGAGCUUCUCAGGUGAUGUGGUCCAGCCCAUCGGCAGCAUUCAUCUCCCCAUCUCAAUUGGGGCCGCACCCCAGCAGACGACGAUCACCACCCCCUUCCUUAUCGUCGAUUGCCCCACGGCCUACAACGUCAUCCUCGGCCGCCCAGCCUUGGCCCAAAUGAAGGCUUUUAUUUCCACGCAUAUGCUGCUGUUGAAGUUCCCCACUCCUAAUGGCCCAGGCACGGUGCGCGGCGACCAACUCAGAGCCCGAAGCUGCUAUGCUUCAGCCGUCAAAUCCACCAAUCGCCAACAUAGGAGUGAAGCCCUAGCAGUAACCCAGGCUCCCGCCUCUCCUCAAGCUGGCACAGACCCACCUGAAGACCCCAGGGAGGAGUCCAUCGCACCACAGGCCGAACCUAUGGAGGACCUGGAGCUGGUUACCCUCCAUGACGAUAUCCCGGAUCGACAAGUCCGGAUCGGCACCUCCAUCUCACCAGAGCUUCGCUCUGACCUGGUCGCCUUCCUCCGCCUCAACUCCGAAGUCUUCGCUUGGUCCUACAAUGACAUGCCUGGCAUAUCACCAGACAUCAUAUCUCAUAGGCUUAGCGUCAAUCCUGCCGUCCGACCAGUCCGACAGAAGCGUCGAGCCUAUGAUCCCGAGCGCUAUGAGGCUAUGAAGGCGGAGGUGGAUCGAUUGAGUAGUAUCUGAUUCAUCAGGGAGGUUGACUAUCCCACAUGGCUGGCCAAUGUCGUGAUGGUCCGCAAGCCAAGAAAGGGUUGGCGCAUGUGUGUCGACUACACCAACCUUAAUCGGGCAUGCCCAAAGGACAGCUUCCCGCUACCCCGCAUUGACCAGCUAGUCGACGCCACAGCCGGCCACGCCCUCCUUAGCUUCAUGGAUGCUUAUUCAGGUUACAACCAGAUCUUCAUGCACCCCGAAGAUCAGGCCCACACCUCUUUCAUUACGGACCGCGGCCUCUACUGCUAUAAGGUGAUGCCCUUCGGCCUCAAAAACGCCGGGGCUACUUAUCAGCGUCUGGUGAAUCAGCUCUUUGCCCCCCUGAUUGGCAAUACCAUGGAGGUCUAUGUCGAUGACAUGCUAGUCAAGAGUCGCACGGCUGACCAGCACAUCCCCAACCUCUCUGCCAUGUUCACCAUCCUGAAGCAAUACAAAAUGAGGCUUAACCCCACCAAAUGUGCAUUCGGGGUGGCUUCCGGAAAAUUCCUUGGCUUCAUGAUCAGCCAGAGGGGCAUUGAGGCCAAUCCAGAAAAGAUCCAGGCCAUCUUAGAUAUGACAAUACCUAAGACGGUCAAGGAUAUCCAAAGCCUUACAGGGCGUGUCGCAGCCCUGACCAGAUUUAUCUCCAAAGCCACUGACCGCUGCGCCCCAUUCUUCAAGACCCUUAAAGGCAGCAAAAGAAACAUCACCUGGACUGCUGAAUGCGACACGGCUUUCAGCGAGCUCAAAGAGUAUAUGGGCCGGGCCCCUUUAUUGUCAACCCCUGAGCACGAAGACAUCCUCGUGAUUUAUCUCUCCAUCUCAGCUUCGGCUGUUAGCUCUGUGCUCAUCCGAUCAAAAGAUCACGCGGAGCACCCAGUGCAUUAUGUUAGUAAAGCAUUGCAAGAUGCCGAAGUUCGUUACCCGGACAUCGAAAAAUUGGCAUUCGCCCUGGUCGUCUCGGCAAGACGCCUCCGACCAUAUUUCCAAGCUCACACCAUCCAUGUCUUAACCAAUCAACCGCUCCGACAGGUGUUGCAGAACCCAGAAACCUCUGGGAGGCUGGUCAAAUGGGCCAUUGAACUGGGCGAGUUUGAUAUUCACUACAAACCCCGCCCGGCUAUGAGGGGCCAGGCCGUUGCUGACUUCCUAUCCGAAUUCACGGAUCCCCAAGCUUCCGCAGCUACCCAGCUCAUAACCGAACCCAACCCCCCUCCCAGCCAGGACCAAACCCCCACCGAAGGCAAUCUCGACCUAACCCAGCCCCUGUGGACCUUAUUCGUAGACGGCUCUUCUAAUGCCCAGGGCUGUGGGGCCGGCCUCGUUCUCAUCUCCCCAGACAAGGUUGCCCUCGAGUACGCCCUUCGCUUCAAAUUCCAAGCCUCCAACAAUGAGGCCGAAUAUGAAGCACUCUUAGCUGGUCUUCGAUUAGCCAAAGAGAUGGACGCCAGGCAAAUUCAGAUAUUCAGCGAUUCACAACUUGUGGUCCACCAGGUCAACCAGGACUUCACGGCUAAGGAUGCCUCUAUGACGGCCUACCUCCAGCACGCUCGGCACUUGCUGGCAAACUUCCAAGCCCACUCUAUCAGGCAGGUGCCGCGCUCCGAGAAUAGCCAUGCGGAUGCACUAGCCAGGUUGGCAUCAGCCUUGGAGCAAGGACUGGGCCGCCACAUCCACAUCGAGUUUUUGGCCCAGCCCAGCACACAAGCCCCACUCAUCUGCACUAUUGAUCACAGCCCUACAUGGAUGGACCCCAUCCUCCAAUUCUUACAAAACCAAACACUACCGGCUAAUCCGGCAGAAGCACGACGCGUUCGCCAUCGCUCUGCCCGUUACCUGAUCAUUAACGGCUCCUUAUACAAGCGGGGUUUCAGCCUUCCUUACCUCCGAUGCCUGACUCCAGAGGAGGGUCACUAUGUCCUCCGAGAAAUCCAUGAAGGCAUCUGCGGCAACCACUCGGGCGCACGCUCGUUAGCUCAUAAGGCAAUCCGCCAAGGAUACUUCUGGCCUUCACUCCACACUGACGCCCAGGCCUUCACCCAAAAAUGCGACAAAUGUCAGAGAUUCGCCAACAUUCCACAACUCCCGGCAGAACCACUGACGGCCAUGGUCAGUCCUUGGCCAUUUGCCCAAUGGGGACUGGAUCUCAUCGGACCGAUGCCAGAGGGCAAGGGCCAAGUCAAGUAUGCUGUUGUGGCCGUAGACUACUUCACCAAGUGGGCUGAGGCCGAGGCCUUGGCCACCAUCACUGCGGCUCGCAUCGAAUCCUUUGUGUGGCAAAACAUUGUAUGUCGCUUCGGCAUCCCCAACUCCAUCGUCACCGACAAUGGCCGGCAAUUUGACAACGCCAAAUUCAAACAAUUUUGUUCCAACCUCAAGAUUCGUCUGUGUUUCGCCUCCCCAGCCCAUCCUCAGUCCAAUGGCCAGGUCGAAGCCGUGAACAAAAUUAUCAAGAAGACCCUCAAGACAAAACUUGACAAAGCCAAGGGCUGCUGGCCAGAACUACUCCCAGAAGUACUCUGGUCCUACCGCACCACCUUCCGCACAUCCACGGGUGAAACGCCGUUCUCCCUAUCAUUUGGAACCGAGGCCGUGGCUCCGGUAGAGAUUGGCCAGCCCACAUACCGAACCUCCACUUACGAUGCCACGGCCAAUGACGAGCAGUUGGCCCUCAACCUCGACUUCAUUGACGAACUUCGGGACCAAUCGAGCAUGCGCAAUGCCGCGUACAAGCAACGCAUCGCCAAAUACUAUGACUCCCGAGUCAAGCCCCGUGCUUUCAAAAUGGGGGACUGGGUCAUGCGCAAGGUUUCCUUGGCUACCAAAAAUCCCAACGAAGGUACCCUCGGCCCUACAUGGGAAGGUCCUUACGAGAUUAUCAAAAUCUGCCGCCCCGGCACUUAUCAGCUUCGUGAUUCCACAGGCAAGACGCUGCCUCACCCGUGGAAUGCUGACCACCUCAAGUACUAUUACAAGUAAACAUAUCUAGACCCUAGGACAAUACUUUGGUCUUGAUUAUUUACUGUAAGUUAGACGUAAGGUAUCUAGACCCUAGACCACUUGUACCUUCUGCCUUUCGGCAUAUAUUUCAAUGAAAUGCCUGACUCAGGCCCAUUCUCAUGAACUCACAUUGUUAUCAUUCUUACCACAAUUGAUAUCAAGCUAAGUUCAUAUCAUAAAUAAAAACAGCCUUGCUCCAGGCAAGGACAAAUGUUCAUACAUAACCAAAAUAAACAAACAAGUGUUCCAACACAAUCACUAAAAUACAAAAUAGCUAUAACACAUCACGAAGGCAACGCCUUCAGGACUCGGUCGACGGAGCAUCCUCAGUGGCUGGCUCAGCCUCUGGUGUCGGGGCGCUAGCAUCAGCAGGAGGGGUCUGUGCAGGAGGCUCGCCACUGGUGUCAAAGUUAAUCUCCAGUGAGGGGUUGAACCUAACCAACCUAUCUUCCCAGCGAAGCUGCUCAUCAACCAGUCGGUCCAUGAUAUAGCUCUUCAGCUCCUCUGAGGAUCGGAAGGACUCAAUCGCCUCGGCUCGGGCAGCAGCCACCUCCUCGGCCCUAGAUCUCUUCAGCUCCUCCACCUCCUUGGCCAGGGCCGCCUUCUGAACCAGCAAGGUGUUCUUCUCUCGGAUGGCCUCCUGCGCCUCUGCCAUUUUGCUCUUGGCUAGCUCAUCCCGCCUCUUCAGCCUCUGGAUCUCCUUGUCAGCCUUGGCCAUGCUGACGUACAUCUCGCCAAAGGCCUGCAAAACCAAAACCAUGUUAGUCAAUCUACACAAAAAUAAUCCAACACAAAUACAUUCAAAAAGGGCCUAAACACUUACAUAGGCAGAGGUGAGGAUCGUCUUUUGGGCCCGGUCGAUGAAGGAAGAAGCUGGAGUCCUCGCCAGAGCCUCAGGGUCGCUCUUCACGCCUUCCAGGAAGACGUUCACUAAGGGCACCUCCUGCCGGUGCAUAGCCAGGUUGACCUCCUUCUUCUGCUGGCAUAGCCUGCCGAAGUCUACCUUCUCUACCCCUUCAGCGAACACGUCCUCCAUGCCGAAGGGUAGCUUCGGCGGUGCCUGCAGAUCAAAGGGCGGAAGCCUCGGCCCUGACCCCAUCACAUGCUGAUGAGCCUCCUCCAAAGCCUUCCUCUUCCCCAGCACAUCCGCGACCCGACCCUCAUCAUCAUCCCUGGGUCGUUUCCCAGCACUUUUCUCAGCUUUCUUGGCCCGAGACUCCCUCAGCCGCUUCUGCAUCUCGGCCUCAUCAAUGUCUACGGCCACCUUCGUGCUCCCCCUUAUGAUGCCAGCCACUGUCAAAACAAACAAAGCAAUUCUAUUACUCAAACUUACAAAGGCUCAGCACACAACAAAAAGAUAACCCAGGUACUUACUUCCUUGCAGCAGUCCGGACUCAAACAAAUUCUUCUGCAUGACUAGGUUCCCGCACUCACGCUCAGUCUCUGAUAGCUGCGCCCUCACCCACUCAACUUCGUCUUCUUGCUCCUUGGAGAUAGGGCCCCACUUCACUGAACCUGCAUCAAGAGUUAAAAACUACUUAGCCAUUUACACUGGCACAGAGGAAGUACAGAACCAAAAAUAGGAGCCAAAACAACACAAUCAGGCAUUGGACAAUCUUAAGGGAUGGGGCAAGGACCUAUAGACUGGAAGUGGGUAGGAAUGUGCUGGACAACGCUCUUCCCUGGAGGACAUUCCCAGUCCCCAUAGGCCAAGCACCACCUGUUCCUCCAGGACUUUUGCGUUGUGGGCUUGUGUCCAAUAAAAUAGCCCCUCUCCUUCGCCUUUAGGCAAUUGGCCUGUACCCAGCCAAAAUUCCCCUGUUGCUUCGAAAUCGAGUACAGGUACAUGAACUGCUCAAACGUUGGCUCCCCUAACCCAGCCAACCACCAGGCGAUAUACACCCCAUGAAGAAGAAUCCAAAAGUUGGGAUUAUACUGCCCCGGUGCAUACCCCAACUUGGCCAACAUCAUCUGAACCCACGGAUGAAACGGUAGUCUGAAACCAUGCCGAUACAUAUCUGUAAAAAUCAUCACGGAGCCAUCCGAGGGAUAUCUGACUACAUCAGCCUCCGUGGGUAACCUCAAGCCCACAUAGGCUGGCACACAAAAAUCUGUUCGUAGCUGGGCCAAUUUCGCUUCUGUAAGUGUAUUCCGCCUCGGCAACGGGACACCAACCCGGAUGUCUAAUCCCUCUGACACCGAAGCCACUGCUAUACCCACAGACCCUGAUGGUGAUGCCUGGUUGCUCGAACCCACUUCUUGCGUCUGAGGCAAGGCUAGAACCCGAUUUGCUAUAGCCUCUAACUCUAUAUAAUUUCUCUGCAUCUCCCUAUAUGCAGCCGACCCAGAGUCUCCCGAUGGCUCAGCCCUCUCACCCCCAGGCCCUAUCAUCCUACUUUCUAUGGUUCCUUCCACCAUACCCUCUGUCUCUGAACUUUCCUCUUCAGAACAUAUAUAUUGACUCGGCUCUUGACUCUCAGUAUCAUCCCCGCCGAAGGCAGGGGGGUCAAGACUUUCCCUAUCAGAACUUUCAGACAUCUACAAAUAUGGAAAAACAAGAAAAAGGAACUAAAUGCACAUGCAGAGAGGAUCGAACCACAACAACAAAAAUUUGCCAAAUCUUCAUGCCAGGCAAGAAUUCUACAUGUUCAUACAUAUGUUCAACAUGUUCAUCAUGUUCAUGCUCAUAUUCAAUGUGUUCUUCCUAACCUUCAACAUGUUCAUGCAAAACAAGACAUUUCAAUUCAAAAGUUCUAGCGAAAUAAGGUCUAACCUUGUUCGUACCACCACGUACAAGUCGCCGGAAAUCACCUCCGCCACAAGCACCACCACAAAACCUUCGCCGGAAAUCUCUUCUCCUCCUCCUCAAAUUCUCACAAUUUUCUCAACUCAAGCCAAGUGUGAUGCCUUCACCACCCAAGUUCCUAUUAAAUAGCCAACUAAGGGUACCACGCCUCGUUUCACGAGCAAACCCUAGCACCCUUUCAUAUUCCCUCCUAAAUCCCUUGUACCUACACACAAUUUGAAAUUCAAUUUUCAAAUAUACAAGCAAGAAACAUAAACAAUUGUGAGAAAUUUAGGGGCCUUGCCGAACGGCAAGGCCCGUGCAAACACAAAAUGGAGCCCUCAAAAUUCCAAGUUUGCUAGCCUACCUCAUAGGCCCAAUCCUACUACAAGGCUAAGCCUAAAUCGAUCAAGACACCCAAGCCGUUACUACCACAUAUUAUAGAUGGGCUUGCCGAACGGCAAGGCCCGGAAAAAAACAAAUGGGAGACUCACCUUUUCGGCCACAAUACUCUACACACCCAGCUAUUUUUCGAUCCAAGCUCACAACGGCCCAACGGCGCCAAGGCCCCUACCGAACGGCAAGAGCUGUUGCAACUUCAACUUGAUCUCGGCUGCCCCUUUGCCGAAACACCAAGCCCUGCCGAAGCACAGCUGCACCGCCAAGGUCCUCUUGCCGAAGCUGCUGCACCUGCUGAACCUGCAGAACCUGCCCAGAACAGUAUUGCCGAAGCUGCUGAACCUGCCCAGAGACACCUGCCAGCCGAGGCCAAGUAACUUGCCGAACGGCAAGAUCAGUCGGCUGCAAUUUCACCCACUCGGACAGCAGCAGCCUGCCACAACCGCGCCGAAACCCUGCCAGCCACCUGCUGCCGAAGCACCUCCCCGCUGCACAGCCUAGCUGCUGCCUUGCCGAAGGCUCUAAUCCCGUGCUGCUGUCUUGCCGAAACAGCUGCACAGCCUUGCUGCCGCCUUGCCGAAACAACUCCCAAUCAACUGGCCGAACGGCAAGGUCUAGCCACACCCGUGUGCCAGCAGCAAAAUCCCUCCCACCCAACUUGCCGAACGGCAAGACCUAGCAAACUCCAAGAUCUUUCUACUCCAAAACUUGGCCUCACCCUUGCUCGCAACUACCUGCCGAAGGAGACUUCCCCUUGCAUGACUACUCACUCAAACCUUGCUCAACUUUAUACCUCACUCAAACCUGCCGAACGGCAAGAGCAACUAGAUGAUAUUUUUACUCCUCACAAUUCCAAACCCUAGCCCUUACACUUGCCAAAGCCCAGCUACUACUUUGAGCCCUUACCCUUGGCUGGCCUCAAGUACAUGCCGAAGCCCACUUUGAGCCCAAUCCCAGCCCCUUGCCGAAGACCCAAUCCAAAAUGGCCUAGCUCCCAAGCCAUCCAACAACACAAAAACAAUUGUGGCUAGACCCUUGCCGAACGGCAAGGGCCAUGAAAUUUUUGCGGAGAGGGCCAAAAUUUCCAAAUGGCCCGGCCAUUCAAAAAAAAAAAAAAAAAAAAAAGGGAGCUAGACCCUUGCCGAACGGCAAGGGCCAUGGAGCAUUUGUGGGGAAGUCCAAAAUUUCCAGAUGGCCCGGCCAUUUCAAAAAAAAAAAAAAAAAAAAAAAAAAAAAAAAAAAAGGGAGCUAGACCCUUGCCGAACGGCAAGGGCCAUGGACACAUUGUGGAAGAAUCCGUUUCUCUCCAAAAUUUUCAAAGGACCCGGCUCCUUCGAAGGCCUUGCUCCCCUAGGGACCCAGCUCCCAUCCUAUCUGCAACAUGCCCAAGUACCCAGGUACCCAGCUACCAUGUGUUGACGCAACUCCUAGCUUGCCAACUUGGGGGACUAGGGAGUGCCCUGCGGCUCCCAAUGAAGCUGGAAUGCUCGGUUACAAUUACAAAAACUCACAAGUUCCCAACCCAGAAGUUACUUCUCGACCGCGAACUUGGGGGACUACUGUUUACACCAUAAUGAACCGAGCAGACCCAGCAUCAAAGCGACUAGCACCAAGGCAGCCACGCCUUCUCCCAUGCCGAAGGAAGACAUACUUCCGAGGUGCCAGACACCUGCCGAAGCUCUCAGCUGCCAAACCUAAUCUCCGGGACACGUGUCGCCACCACAACGGCUUGCACAAAGUCCCACAUUGGAACUUUGUGCAAAGCUCCCACUUUCACUUCCCUAUAAAUAGGGAACAGUACCCAGGUAAAAGAGG
rnacentral:lncRNA from 1 species